UAAGUUGACGGAUACCAAGUGGACUAUAUUCCUGCUGCAUAUCACUGGCGGCCGGUGCAAGAUCACAGCUAAGGAAUGGAACAUCCAAACUUGGAAACCGAGGGGGUUCAUAACAAAGAGCUCCGAUAAGGUCCGGUUGAUCUGGAUGUGUUUUCUCUCUUCCACUAAAUGAAGGCAAAUUUUCUGCAGUUUUAGGUUCUGAACUAAAUGUAUUUACAGGAACCAAUUUUGAUGGAUCCUUUGAACCCUGCUGCUUUUGGAGUUCUGCGUUCAUGAAACCGUUCUUGGAAGGUGAGUCGGUGGAUUCAUUGGUGUAGAUAAAGCCAUCAUGUCCAUUUGCUACAAGCUCUUGUUCGAGAGUUUCAAAUAAAUGACUUGUGUCACUAGUAUAUACAUAAGUAUCAUCAUUAGCAGAAACCAAGAGAGGAGCUAGAAAGCGUUGUGAACAUGAGUUAUCCAGAACAUCAGAUCUCGCAUGGUGAUACGAUUGCAAUG
rnacentral:lncRNA from 1 species